GUUAAGAUGAUCGUAAAUAAAGCGUAAAUCCUGGCGUAACUUACUACAGCUAUACCCAGUCGUAACUCCAUCGUAGUUUUUCUACGAAAAUAAAUUAAUCCAUCUAACAUGGCUGCAGCGUUCUUUAUUCUUUGUCAAGAUGCCUCAAAUGUUAGAAGACGAAGAAGAAUCUUCAAUAUUAUAGAACUACACUUGAAGUCUUUCUUCGUUUGAUUAUUUGUAUAUUCAAGCAACUAACUUAAUGCAAAUCUAAGGUAUUAAUCAUUGUACACUAAUCUUAUUUCCUACCGGCGUACGUCUUCACAAUUUAAUAAAUAGGCUUUCUAUCACGUCCGCGUUCUGAAAUCUAUUUAUAAUUAUAUCACUACAGGCACAGUGGUAAUCGAUAAAACGUUUAAAGAAGGAUGUUUUAUUCCCAUUUUUAAAGUUAUGUGUACAAUAUAAAUCUGAAAUCAGUGUUUCACAGUCAAACCAGAUAAUAAUUAUUUUUUUUUGUUUGUAAUUUCGGCCAAAAAAGAAAUGUAUUUUAAUAAGAAUAUCGAAAUAAAUAUCUGACUGUAAUUAGUUUCGUGGUUAAUGGAACUUAUUGCAACUAUUUAGAUAUAUAUGCCUUUCGAGUGACUAUUUUUGAAUCGAAUUUAAUGUAGAUCACAUAUACCAAAACUAAUAGGGGUAAGCUGCAGAUCAAUAAGACAGGCUUUGUGUAGAUGCGACAUGUCUUCAAAAAUUAAUACAGUAGAAAAAAAUUUGGAAGCGGGAGGGGAAGUUAAAGAUUGAAAAGUGAAGCAUUUUUUUCUGUUUACUUUAUUUUUUUUAUUUAGGGACAUCGCCACAUGCACCUGUUUCUAUCAAUGGGAAGGUCGACUAUCAAUAUGUAAUAUAUAUGGAUAGUCGACCUUCCCAUUGAUAGAUCGAAACAAGUGCCUGUGCACAUCUCUCCUCGGUCCUUCUUCUUUUAGGCAUAUUAUUUAGGGAAGAAAGACAAUUAUUCUAUACACAUUAGCCGUUUUAGCUAUACAAAACUGUUGGAAAUGUAGUUUAUACGUUAAUAAGACAGCAACCAAAUGACAAAGACAAACUAAGGACAUCCAGAAGGCAACAUAGUAUAGUAUAGUUUUCAACAAUAUAGAUAGAUGUCUAUGUUCCAGACCAUAUGAGUAUUUGUACCGUACGCGUACUUUUUCAAAAUACGCGGCAUACGUCGGACUGUUCGCGUACGGUCUGUCAGAUUUUAAGAAGUUGGUCAAGUUUUAAUACAAAUAAAUAUAUAUUACAGAUCAACAUGACAUAAAUCUCGAAUUGAUAUAAAAAGUUCAAUUGUAAUUGGAAUAAAAACUUAUUGUUUUGACUAUUUUAAUAGGUCGCGU
rnacentral:lncRNA from 1 species